rnacentral:rRNA from 1 species
GUAGUUUGAUCCUGGCUCAGAUUGAACGCUGGCGGCAUGCCUUACACAUGCAAGUCGAACGGCAGCAUGAUCUAGCUUGCUAGAUUGAUGGCGAGUGGCGAACGGGUGAGUAAUACAUCCGGAACGUGCCCUGGUAGUGGGGGAUAACUAGUCGAAAGAUUAGCUAAAUACCGCAUACGACCUGAGGGUGAAAGUGGGGGACCGCAAGGCCUCAUGC